rnacentral:rRNA from 1 species
AAUCAACGCUGGCGGCGUGCCUAACACAUGCAAGUCGAACGCGAAAGCCCCGCAAGGGGCAAGUAGAGUGGCAAACGGGUGAGUAACACGUGGGUGACCUGCCUUCGAGCGGGGGAUAACGUCCCGAAAGGGACGCUAAUACCGCAUGACAUCCUGCCUUUGAACAGGCGGUGAUCAAAGCUGGGGAUCGCAAGACCUAGCACUCGAAGAGGGGCCCGCGCCUGAUUAGCAGUUGGUGAGGUAACGGCUCACCAAGGCAACGAUCAGUAGCCGGCCUGAGAGGGCGGACGGCCACACUGGGACUGAGACACGGCCCAGACUCCUACGGGAGGCAGCAGUGGGGAAUUGUUCGCAAUGGGCGCAAGCCUGACGACGCAACGCCGCGUGGAGGAUGAAGACC